UUACGUUCAUAUGACUUUGAAAGACCGGUUCCCGUACGACCACCGAAGUUAAGCAACGUCGGGCCUGGUCAGUACCUAGAUGGACAAACACUUGGGAAUAGCAA